CCUACGGGUGGCUGCAGUGGGGGAUAUUGGACAAUGGGGGGAACCCUGAUCCAGCGACGCCGCGUGGGUGAAGAAGUGCCUCGGCGUGUAAAGCUCUGUCAGCAGGGAAGAAAAAGACGGUACCUGCUGAAGAAGCCGCGGCUAAUUACGUGCCAGCAGCCGCGGUAAUAAGGAGGGGGCAAGAGUUAUCCGGAGUUACUGGGUGUAAAGGGGGCGCAGACGGCGAUGCAAGACAGGAGUGAAAGCCCGGGGCCCAACCCCGGGACUGCUCUGGGAACUGCGGGGCUGGAGUGCAGGAGGGGUAGGCGGAAUUCCUGGUGUAGCGGUGAAAUGCGUAGAUAUUAGGAGGAACACCGGUGGCGAAGGCGGCCUGCUGGACUGCAACUGACGUUGAGGCCCGAAAGCGUGGGGAGCAAACAGGAUUAGAUACCCCGGUAGUC
rnacentral:rRNA from 1 species